rnacentral:rRNA from 1 species
AGGGAAUUUUGGACAAUGGGCGAAAGCCUGAUCCAGCAAUGCCGCGUGAGUGAUGAAGGCCCUCGGGUUGUAAAGCUCUUUUGGUAGGAACGAAAAGGUCUGUGCUAAUACCACGGAACGAUGACGGUACCUGCAGAAUAAGCACCGGCUAACUACGUGCCAGCAGCCGCGGUAAUACGUAGGGUGCAAGCGUUAAUCGGAAUUACUGGGCGUAAAGCGUGCGCAGGCGGUUUUGUAAGACCGAUGUGAAAUCCCCGGGCUUAACCUGGGAACUGCAUUGGUGACUGCAAGGCUUGAGUGUGUCAGAGGGAGGUGGAAUUCCGCGUGUAGCAGUGAAAUGCGUAGAGAUGCGGAGGAACACCGAUGGCGAAGGCAGCCUCCUGGGAUAACACUGACGCUCAUGCACGAAAGCGUGGGGAGCAAAC